rnacentral:rRNA from 1 species
AUUGAACGCUGGCGGCAUGCCUUACACAUGCAAGUCGAACGGCAGCACGGGUGCUUGCACCUGUUGGCGAGUGGCGAACGGGUGAGUAAUACAUCGGAACAUGUCCUGUAGUGGGGGAUAGCCCGGCGAAAGCCGGAUUAAUACCGCAUACGAUCCACGGAUGAAAGCGGGGGCCCUUCGGGCCUCGCGCUAUAGGGUUGGCCGAUGGCUGAUUAGCUAGUUGGUGGGGUAAAGGCCUACCAAGGCGACGAUCAGUAGCUGGUCUGAGAGGACGACCAGCCACACUGGGACUGAGACACGGCCCAGACUCCUACGGGAGGCAGCAGUGGGGAAUUUUGGACAAUGGGCGAAAGCCUGAUCCAGCAAUGCCGCGUGUGUGAAGAAGGCCUUCGGGUUGUAAAGCACUUUUGUCCGGAAAGAAAUCCUUGACUCUAAUACAGUCGGGGGAUGACGGUACCGGAAGAAUAAGCACCGGCUAACUACGUG